rnacentral:rRNA from 1 species
CGGGAAGAGCUCAAAUUUGAAAUCUGGUGGCCUCAGGUCAUCCGAGUUGUAAUCUAUAGAAGUGUUUUCCGUGCUGGCUCAUGUACAAGUCCCUUGGAACAGGGCGUCAUAGAGGGUGAGAAUCCCGUCCUUGACAUGAACUACCAGUGCUCUGUGAUACAUUUUCAACGAGUCGAGUUGUUUGGGAAUGCAGCUCAAAAUGGGUGGUAAAUUCCAUCUAAAGCUAAAUAUUGGCGAGAGACCGAUAGCGAACAAGUACCGUGAGGGAAAGAUGAAAAGCACUUUGGAAAGAGAGUUAAACAGUAUGUGAAAUUGUUGAAAGGGAAACGAUUGAAGUCAGUCGUGCUCUUUGGAUUCAGCCGGUUCUGCCGGUGUACUUCCUUUGAGUGGGGUCAACAUCAGUUUUGAUCGCUGGAUAAAGGCUGGAGGAACGUAGUACCCUCGGGUAAACUUAUAGCCUCCUGUCACAUACAGUGGUUGGGACUGAGGAACGCAGCACGCCUUUAUGGCCGGGAUUCGUCCACGUACGUGCUUAGGAUGUUGACAUAAUGGCUUUAAACGACCCGUCUUG